rnacentral:rRNA from 1 species
GUGGGGAAUCUUGCGCAAUGGGCGAAAGCCUGACGCAGCAACGCCGCGUGCGGGAUGACGGCCUUCAAGGUUGUAAACCGCUUUCAGCAGGGACGAAAAUGACGGUACCUGCAGAAGAAGCCCCGGCUAACUACGUGCCAGCAGCCGCGGUAAUACGUAGGGGGCAAGCGUUGUCCGGAUUCAUUGGGCGUAAAGAGCUCGUAGGCGGUUCAGUAAGUCGGGUGUGAAAGCUCCGAGCUCAACUCGGAGAGGCCACCCGAUACUGCUGUGACUUGAGUACAGUAGGGGAGCGUGGAAUUCCUGGUGUAGCGGUGAAAUGCGCAGAUAUCAGGAGGAACACCAGCGGCGAAGGCGGCGCUCUGGGCUGUAACUGACGCUGAGGAGCGAAAGUGUGGGUAGCAAACAGGAUUAGAUACCCUAGUAGUCC